CCACAAUCUUCAUUUUCCCAAACGACCUCUACACCUACACAAUGUUCACACAGUGGUUGAACAAUACAGUCCACCUACUCAUUUUACAUAUCAUCUAUGUCUUUAGGUUGAUCAUCCUGUGUCCUUGACCAUCAGAUUAAUUAGAGUUUAUUUACAAAAUAGAACCAUUUUGUGUUAUAUUGUUAAAUUGGCUGCCAAACUAUGCAAUCUGCUUGAUAGCUUGAUGUUCAUAUCUCCAAGAUUGUUGCUGACAGAAGCAAGCAUACCAACAGAAGAUGUUGCUGUCACGGUGGUGCAUCUUAAUGUCUACCUUUUUCCACUGAUCAAACCAUGUUUUGAGUUGAUAACCAGCUAGCUCAACUCUCUCAAUGUUAGCAACAUGCAUAACCUCGAACACCUUUUUCAGUUCCUCAGUGAAGUUCUCUCGAUCCUCAGUAGUUCUCGAACUAUUAAAGCUUGGGGGAUUCAUCCUUAUAGCCUCACGGAACUCAGGUUGCAAUUCAGGUGCAUUGGGUAACUCUUGUUCCUGAUGUUCAACAUUCCUUCUAGCUGGAUGAUCUCUUGAUGCUAUUCGUCGAGGAAGAUUAUAUGAAAACACACGCAAGCACGAGUCAGAGAAAAACUUUUAGAGCUAAAUUCUAAUACACGAAUGUAAUAUGAAAGUAGUGAAGAAUUUACUAAAUGUCGCAGGCUUCUAAUUAUAGAUGUGGCGCACUACACAUUAUAAACACGACUCUAAAGACAUGAAUACUCUUCGCCAGGAUCAAGAUGGUUCUCCUGAUGUAGUCACUGAUUAAUUAGAGAUUAUUGACAAAAUGGAACCAUCUUGUGUAAAUUGCUUCCAAACUAUACCAUCUGCUCGGUAUCUUAAUGUUCAUAUUUCCCAGACUGUUGCAGACCAGAAGCAGGCAUAUUAGAAGAAGCUCCUUCUAUCACGGUAUGAUUGCACAAACAGCAGUAGAAACAGUUUGAAUGCUCAGAUUGGCGUAUUUUGCAUUAUUUAAGCCUCCAACUCCAAAAAAAUUGGUUCACCAGAUUGUCCCCCGGUGACUUCGCCGAGGGUUCAAUUAGUGAUGGGAGAUAUUUAGCCUAAAAAAAGGGGUGGUGUUGUCAAGGAGAAGGCAAAGCACAUCAUCAUUAUUUUUCAUGGCUUCGAUAGUUCUAAAAACUUGAUGUUACCAUUAUCUGAAGUAUGAAAACUUUUAUAAUUUCAUAUUUAGCAUCAAUAUCAAGUUUUCUUGCUCCUGCAAUAAGUUUGAAACUCUGAAAAGUCUUGCUGAGAUCAAUUGUCUGGCUUUCAACCAUAUUACAAAGUGCAAGCAAACUUGGACAUAACAUACAUGAUAGAUACUAAAAUGAAUACGCUAAAUAUGGAGUUUUAAAAGUUUUCAUACUUGGGAUAUCGGCAACCUCAAGUCUUUGCACUAUCAAGUCCCUGAAUAGAAUGAACUUGUGAUUUUCCUUCUUCUUGGCAACGCAACCCUCUUUGUAGGCUACAUAUCUCCCAUCAGUGAGUUGGACCCUUGUGGAAGUCACCGGAGGACAAUCUGGUGAGCCACAAACAUUUGGAGGGGGGAGGUUUAAGUAAUGUCAAAUAAGCCCAUCCGAGCAUUCCAAGAUCAUGAUAUUGAAUCCAAGGGAUCUUCUCUUCUAGAUAACAAUUGAGUUCGCGUGCAAUAAGUCUGUCAUAGAGUCCUUGCCAAAGUUGGACCGAACCUUUGUUAUCUAGAAAAAGGAAUUACCAAUCCAUUGGAGCAAAAUCACAAUUUUCAAGCUAACUAUCAAGUCAUGAUGCAAAGAUUCAAACUCGCCUUAAUUUCAUGCCUUCUCCUGGACAAAGACAUAGUUCCAGAAUUAUGACAAACAUAAUGGUUAGCAAAUACUAUCUAUGUUAGUGCAACAUUAGAUGUUUUGGGGGGUGGAAAAGUUACAUUAUAUAUACAAAGUAAAUAUGUACAUCUUUUUAUGUAUAUAGUAGAGAUAUUGACAGAUUUGUUAAUUCACAAUGAUAGUUAUUCUGAAACCAUAUUAAGGGAACUUUUCACUAGUUAACGGUGAGCUUCGGAGCAACACUAACGUUGUCUCUGUGUGACCUAUAGGCCACGUGGAAGAAACCAUGUACUUGAACCAGAGUAAGAUGCCCAUAUCACGUCCGUUAUAAGGUGCAUCCCUUUCACCAACGUUGCUAACGUGGAUGCUUUGUGCACCUUGCUUCCCCUUUUGCAUGUAUGGUAACUUGAAAGAAACUUAAUGCAACAACAUUUGUGAUAAAUAUCAAUAU